UGGCGGACGGGUGAGUAACGCGUGGAAAACCUGCCGUAUACUGGGGGAUAACACUUAGAAAUAGGUGCUAAUACCGCAUAAGCGCGCAGCUUCGCAUGAAGCGGUGUGAAAAACUCUGGUGGUAUACGAUGGUUCCGCGUCUGAUUAGCUUGUUGGCGGGGUAACGGCCCACCAAGGCGACGAUCAGUAGCCGGCCUGAGAGGGCGGACGGCCACAUUGGGACUGAGACACGGCCCAGACUCCUACGGAAGGCAGCAG
rnacentral:rRNA from 1 species